GUUUACUCUUCCAUUCAAUGAUCUCGUAAGGGGAGCCCGCACUCCUCAUCUCUCACUCUUCCUCUCUCUUCUUCUCUACUGGAAAAUCCAGUCUUUCAUCUUCCUCGGCUCUUCCUUUCUCUCCGCUCCCCAUAUCUCUCUCCGUGGAGCCUACAAACUAAGUAGUGACGAUCGACAAGCUUCAAACAUGGCGGACGCGUACUGGAGAAGGGACAGUUCUGUCCGUUGCAGAGAGAGACGGGGGAGUAUGGGCGUAGGGGAGAGGAUUUACGGCAGGGAGGUAUGGGUUUAGGGAGAAAGAGUAAGGGAGAAGUAUGGGGUAGGCUGAUUUCCAGGGAUUUCUUUUCACCCCUUCACUCACCACGAACCCACCUUUCCUUUCUUUUCUCCCGCCCUCAAAUCUUCCGUUUUCCCUCUCACAAAAUACCCACCAGGGAAACCCUGCUUUUGGUUUAUUUUGGGAUUUUGUUUGCGCUCUCGAUUUUCAGACGACGGGCCAUUGGUUGAGAUUUGGAUUUCUUCCCCUUUUGUCGAAACGCACAAAUUUUGUUUCGGUGGGAUCGGUCUCGAAUAGCUGUGUGUGUCUACCCUUUUCAAGGGGAUGGACAGAAGUCCCAGGCAGCAAACUCUCUGUAAUCAUCAUUGGGAAAAUAUUGUGGUCAUUUUGAGCUCGGAUUCAGCCAGCAUGUGAUCUGUGCAAGAUAUCCAUAUAUGGAUCAAUGCUAUGGACUCUUUUCAACCUAUUUACCUCAAAUUUCAGUGCGUCUUCCAUCAUUUCUCCUACCUCAUUAUAUAUGGAGCUAUUACAUUUGCAAUCAUAUUAAUUCCUUGAAAACAAUAUUUAUAUUUCUCUGUAAACUGCUAAUUUUGGAAUAUACUAUCGUUUCCUUGCUGGUACAUUAAAAUGGAAAUAUGAAAAGUAGAACCGGUUUAAGAAGCAUGCUAAUCUCUAUUUACGUUCUUGGUUGUCUACGAUAAUUUUUAGUUAUGUGAACUAGAAACCAUUUGUGAUUUAACUUGGAAAGUCUCUUAGCACCCCUCUGUGUAUUUUCGUGAAUGAGAAUAAGCACGUCCCUAUUUGUAGUUUUACUCUGAUUAAAAGUCAGAACAAUGUCAAGGCAAGCUGCUUUUUGUAAUCUAGGUCUGGGUUAUGGUCAAGUUAUUGCUAUUUGUUCUGGGUAUUUGCUGAAAUUUGUGUUCAAUUAGUGUGAGUUCUGUAAUUGGUUUGUGUUCGUUCAUAUAACCUUCUGUUCUUGGAAUGUGAUUUAGCGAAGGCCCUGUAAUUUGAUUCGUAAUUCUUUAUGAUUCAGCACUAUGUUGAUGACCCUGAAGUACCUAAUGUCCAACACCAUUGUAACAUUUUGAAAGAACAAUGUUUUUAAGGAGGUUGGAUAGCAUCUUAGGGCAUGUUUGUUUGGCCUCACUAACCUUCCUUAGACUAGACUGGACUACCUAUGAAUCUAAUCCCGUGUUUGGUAGGUGCUAGGAUUAUGUUUAAUAAGACUAAAUGGGACUCGCAUGGACAAACUCCUUCGCUAGGAGGCCUUAGCGAGACCCCCCAAAUUGAAGCGGACUGCUAAGACCAUCACAGUUUAUCUGCUCUGCUUCGCUUUGCCAAAACCGCUUAUCUUGGAUCGAUUGACUGCUCUUCCUCAUGCGAGUCCUUAGGGCUGAAAGAAAAGAAGUGUAAAUGGGAGGCAUUUGAAGAAGAAGGCUAAAUGGCGCUACCAUGUUGUAUUGGCAGGUCGGGAAAAGUUUUGAAGAGGAUAGAGAGUGAGCUUGGAAAUGUAAGGAUUUUGCAUGUGUUGUGUAAGGUGACUGGCAAUAACCUUAUCUUGGUCAAUUAGCAAAAUGCUAUCAGAAUCUUUCACAGCAUCAAAUAUCUUUGAGAAUUCUUGAGCUGCCAUUGAUUCCUGCAUUUGUGCACACUUUCAUUUAUUCAAGACUUAUACAAAUGUCUUUGAGAAUUCUUGACUGCCAUUGGUUUCUUCCGUGCCAUGUAAUUUCAUACUUAUAGAAAUGUCUAUGCGUUCCUCAAAGCUUAUGUUUUCCCAAGCCAGAGCAAUGUUGAAUCUUUUGGGGGUUUUUGUUAAUUAUUUGUUGAUGGUAAUCCCAUCUCUCUUAAGACUGUUUUAGAUGUACAAUAUAUGUCAUUUUUUCUCUAUGGUAUGACUGAAACAUUAGCUCCGUUUCUGGUAUCUCACCCUUAAGUUUGCAGGUUUAUAUGUUCGUUUUGUUUCAAAAGAUUGCUGGCUGUCUAGUUGCGGAACCAAUCAAAACACACAAAGUUCAUGUGUAGUUGAUGGAAGUUCUGAUAAAAAGGUCCAAAGCUUUUGUUGAUGCUUUGCCCUCAUGGUAGCUAAACAACUCUGCUGAAAAAAGCACUGCCAAGAUGAAGAUUGAGGACGAUGAUCAACUAUUUCAGAACAAAUUGUCAAAUUCUCAUCUGGCUUUCGCCAAUUUUGCAGGAGAGAGAAGAUAGAGAAAGUGGUGUUGUACUAGAUGUGAAGUUCUCUAUUUAUUUUUAUUUUUUUAAGUUUUAGAUUUUCCUUUUCUAAAACAACAAGUGUGGAUUAAAAUGUGAAUUAAAAAUGAUAAGAAAAUUAAUUUGGGUCCCAAAAAUAUUUUAGUCCGGCACUUCUCCAAACACUUAACUAUUCUUAUCCUGCUUAGUCUAAGCCAAGCUUGUCCACCUUAGUCCCUGAGACUAAUCUAGUCUGAGAUAGUUCAGCACAACAAACGCAUCCUUAAUUUAUAUGGGAGUUGGUUUUAUCUUCCUUUUGUGCUGCUCUUUCAGUUUUUCAGUCUCUCUGCAUAAAUCAAACCGUAUGUGUUUUGCCCGUUUUUGUUCAUGGCCCUAUUGUUUGUAAUUGUAGUAGUGAUCCUGUGUUUGAUGUUGCAGAAAUUACACCGUAUGUAUUUCACCAUGAAUAUGCAUGGUGAAAAAAAAAAACCAUGGGGAAAUCAUUUUUCGUAUGAUUUGUAUUACCUGACCAUGCAGGGAUGGUUCAAAAAACAACAGGUGACGUUUGUGAUUUGACAUUUGACGUUUACCUUUGUUGCCUCUCUCUUUUUCUCUUCAUUAAUCUGCCUUUCCCUGCCUUUUCGUUUGUAAAAUGUUCGAAUAUAGUCAUCUUGGGAGUCUUAAUAUGAUCGUUCUUUUAUUUCUUAGAUUCAAAAUGUUUUUAAUUUCUUAUUUAUUUGGUGUAGCUUUGGUCAUCUCUAAAAUUUAAUCAGAUUUGGUUGUUGAAUUUCUUUGAAUUGCUAAUGGAUUUACUUUCUUUGGAAAUUUCAGAAAUUCUGAUCGUGGGAGGAAGAAGCUGGUUCCUUACGGCAUGUUCAAAGCCUAAUUAGUCAUGUGAUGGAUGAUCAGGACCUGGGCUUCUUUGCCAAUUUUCUCGGCAUCUUCAUUUGGUAAUAGCGUAUCAUUUUGUGAUGCCCGACCCAAAAUAUGAAGGCAACUAAUGAUCUGUUUCUUUUUUAUGUAUUUGCAAUGGAUAUGCAAUUUUCUCGCGACUAAUGGAGUUAAGCUAUUAUUUUUGUAGCGUGAACUAUUUCAGAAUGGAUACAACUUGAUUUAGUGAGAAGCUUUGGUAUACAAUAUGAAUGUGUGCUGUUAUGAUUUUCUUUCUCUAGUUUAUCUGUGCUUCAUAUUUAGUUUUCCACGCCUUUGCAUUGUUAAGGGUGUGGACCGUGUUCGGACUGUGUUUUGAAGGUUACCAUUGCCUGUGGUAGUGAAUCAAAUGAUCCGUUGUUCGUAGAAAGUGCGAAAAACACAUUUUAGGGUUCAUGGAAAAAAACAUUCCUUUUGGUGAAUAUUCAGAAAGAUAUAGGGAAAUUACAAUGUGUACUGAGGUCAAUGGAAUAUUGAAAAAUCUAAUGGCAUUUGCCAAUCUGUUA